AGGGCCACCGGGGCCACAUGGAGUGGCUGGGUACCCAGGUAAAGAUGGACCACCUGGACCCAUUGGACCUCCAGCAGAUAAAGGUGACAAGGGACUGAGAGGAGCCAGUGGACUGAAGGGAGCUGCUGGUAUCGAUGGGCUCAAUGGGUGAAACUGGGCCAGUCGGACCAGCAGGAAGCAAAGGCUUGUCUGACAGAACUGUCGGUUGUAGGGUGAGAAGGGUAUCGAAGGAUCUUUGGGUGAUCGUGGCUCAAAAGGAAUCCAAGGAGAG